CGCCAUUACAGAUGCACAUUCACAAACAGUUCAUUUACAUAGAGCACAGGGAAAACUGCUCUGUCUUCAGAAAAAGAGGAGACUCCAGUGCAGAAGACCCUGAGGGUGCCUGUCUCUGCUCCCCACCCACCCCCUUCCCUGCCUAAUUGAAGAGGCUCCACCCGGCAAAGAAGAUGAAAGCUUUAUCUUCCAAGUCCAUCCCGGAGCGUGUUAAGAUGAUGGAUGAGCUUCCAGACCCGCUUGCUCCUCCCAGUAGCAUUAACAAAAUUGGCUUUCAGGCUCCCAACUUCCACGCUGGAGAGAUGGGCUGUACACACGGGAUGGGAGACCCAAGCGUUGGCACUUGAAGGUCUCUCCCAUCUUUCCUCAGUCUCUUCCCAGCAACUGGCUCAUCCCCAAGCCUCUGCCAGCCUCCCUUCUCAUGGAAUGGAGCUCUUGGCUGUCCACCGUACCCAUGACUUGUUUUAUAAGCCACACCAAAAGCCCCUCUUGGGAUGGCGCCAUAGAAACCUCUGAGUCUAAGCAUCAUGGAAUGAUUGCGGGCACCAAACAGGUGCUGUACACCGAGAUGAGUCAACGUGGUCCAUCUUGGAUGGCUUCUACUCCACGAGGGCGAUGGGCAAGGAACCUGGGAAUCUUACCCAGGUCUGUAGGAGAGUCUGAAAAAAGUGUGCCAGGGAUGAAGGUACCAAGAAUGAACAUCUAAUCCGGCAUAGGGAAGACAGCCAUCUUAGGUCAGGCUCCCUGGAGGUGAACUGAGCUGGAGAUCUACAGGGUCAA